UAUGCGAAAAACAAACCUUAGCUAGCAGUAUCCUGAGUAGGGCGGGACACGAGGAAUCCUGUCUGAAUCCGGGUCGACCACGAUCCAACCCUAAAUACUAAUACCAGAUCGAUAGUGCACAAGUACCGUGAGGGAAAGGUGAAAAGAACUGAGGUGAUCAGAGUGAAAUAGAACCUGAAACCAUUUGCUUACAAUCAUUCAGAGCCCUAUGUAGCAAUACAGGGUGAUGGACUGCCUUUUGCAUAAUGAGCCUGCGAGUUGUGGUGUCUGGCAAGGUUAAGCAAACGCGAAGCCGUAGCGAAAGCGAGUCUGAAUAGGGCGCUUAGUCAGAUGCUGCAGACCCGAAACGAAGUGAUCUAUCCAUGAGCAAGUUGAAGCUAGUGUAAGAACUAGUGGAGGACUGAACCCAUAGGCGUUGAAAAGCCCCGGGAUGACUUGUGGAUAGGGGUGAAAGGCCAAUCAAACUUCGUGAUAGCUGGUUCUCUCCGAAAUAUAUUUAGGUAUAGCGUUGUGUCGUAAUAUAAGGGGGUAGAGCACUGAAUGGGCUAGGGCAUACACCAAUGUACCAAACCCUAUCAAACUCCGAAUACCUUAUAUGUAAUCACAGCAGUCAGGCGGCGAGUGAUAAAAUCCGUCGUCAAGAGGGAAACAACCCAGACUACCAGCUAAGGUCCCUAAAUCUUACUUAAGUGGAAAACGAUGUGAAGUUACUUAAACAACCAGGAGGUUGGCUUAGAAGCAGCCAUCCUUUAAAGAAAGCGUAAUAGCUCACUGGUCUAGUGAUUUUGCGCGGAAAAUAUAACGGGGCUAAAGUAAGUACCGAAGCUGUAGACUUGCACACAA
rnacentral:rRNA from 1 species